GGAGGGGUGCCCGAGUGGUCGAAGGGGGGCGACUCGAAAUCGUCUAGGCGGCUCGUAACCGUCUCGUGGGUUCGAAUCCCACCCUCUCCGCCA
rnacentral:tRNA from 1 species